UUGGUACUCACUCCGUCCCAAAUUCUUGUCUUGGAUUUGUCUUGAUAUGGAAGUAUCUAAGACACUAAAAUGUGACUAGAUACAUCCAUAUCUAGAUAAAUCUAAGAAAAGAAUUUUGGGACGGAGAGAGUACUUG
rfam:Triticum aestivum genome assembly, contig: Triticum_aestivum_CS42_TGACv1_scaffold_321213_4BL